GGGGUUGACUGGAUUUGACAGCAGGAGGAGUGGUACGUAAGCACGCGGAGUCUCGAUGGCUUGCUCCUUAACUAAGCGAUCACAAAUUAAUUGGCGAAAACAACUACGCUCUCGCUGCCUAAUCGAAGUACAGUAGAUUACUGGCUUAAUCCCGCCACCAGGUGACGGGACGAGACAUCGCUCCAAGGAUGUUGUUCCGAAUCUGAGGAUCAAGCGGUGCAGGUAAAUCGGAAAUAGUCUGUCAAUGCCUCGAUUGACGGAUGAAAUUUUAGAGGAUAAGGCGUCGGUUGGUGGUCCAGGUCUUGCCGCCGCACGAAAACCACAGUCUGGAAUAAACGUGUAGAAAGCGUAUGGUUUCCCUGUUUGGACGCGGGUUCGACUCCCGCCAGCUCCAC
rnacentral:tmRNA from 1 species